GACGAACGCUGGCGGCGUGCUUAACACAUGUAAGUCGAACGGAAAGGCCCUGCUUUUGUGGGGUGCUCGAGUGGCGAACGGGUGAGUAACACGUGAGUAACCUGCCCUUGACUUUGGGAUAACUUCAGGAAACUGUGGCUAAUACCGGAUAGGAGCUCCUGCUGCAUGGUGGGGGUUGGAAAGUUUCGGCGGUUGGGGAUGGACUCGCGGCUUAUCAGCUUGUUGGUGGGGUAGUGGCUUACCAAGGCUUUGACGGGUAGCCGGCCUGAGAGGGUGACCGGCAACAUUGGGACUGAGAUACGGCCCAGACUCCUACGGGAGGAAGAAGUGGGGAAUAUUGCACAAUGGGCGGAAGCCUGAUGCAGCAACGCCGCGUGCGGGAUGACGGCCUUCGGGUUGUAAACCGCUUUCGCCUGUGACGAAGCGUGAGUGACGGUAAUGGGUAAAGAAGCACCGGCUAACUACGUG
rnacentral:rRNA from 1 species